GGCGGCAAUCAUCGGCGACAGCAGAAUCCCGAACACCGGAUAAAGCACACCCGCCGCGACGGGAAUGCCGGCUGCGUUGUACAGGAAGGCAAACGCCAGGUUCUGGCGGAUAUUGCGCAUCGUCGCCCGCGACAGUUGCCGGGCUUCCACCAGCCCCAUCAGAUCGCCGCGCAGCAGCGUAAUGCCCGCGCUUUCGAUCGCCACAUCGGUGCCGC
rnacentral:misc_RNA from 1 species